rnacentral:rRNA from 1 species
GACGGAGGGUGCAAGCGUUGUUCGGAUUGACUGGGCGUAAAGGGCGUGUAGGCGGUUGGUCAAGUCGGGUGUGAAAUCCCGGGGCUCAGCCCCGGAAGUGCAUCCGAAACUAGCCAGCUAGAGCGCGAUAGAGGAGGGUGGAAUUCCUGGUGUAGCGGUGAAAUGCGUAGAUAUCAGGAGGAACACCGGCGGCGAAGGCGGCCCUCUGGAUCGUUGCUGACGCUGG